CCUACGGGUGGCAGCAGUGAGGAAUAUUGGUCAAUGGACGAGAGUCUGAACCAGCCAAGUAGCGUGAAGGAUGACUGCCCUAUGGGUUGUAAACUUCUUUUAUAUGGGAAUAAAAUGUUCCACGUGUGGGAUUUUGUAUGUACCAUAUGAAUAGGGAUCGGCUAACUCCGUGCCAGCAGCCGCGGUAAUACGGAGGAUCCGAGCGUUAUCCGGAUUUAUUGGGUUUAAAGGGAGCGUAGGUGGAUUGUUAAGUCAGUUGUGAAAGUUUGCGGCUCAACCGUAAAAUUGCAGUUGAAACUGGCAGUCUUGAGUACAGUAGAGGUGGGCGGAAUUCGUGGUGUAGCGGUGAAAUGCUUAGAUAUCACGAAGAACUCCGAUUGCGAAGGCAGUUCACUGGACUGCAACUGACACUGAGGCUCGAAAGUGUGGGUAUCAAACAGGAUUAGAUACCCGUGUAGUC
rnacentral:rRNA from 1 species